rnacentral:rRNA from 1 species
UACGUAGGGUGCGAGCGUUGUCCGGAAUUAUUGGGCGUAAAGAGCUCGUAGGCGGUUUGUCACGUCUGCUGUGAAAACCCGAGGCUCAACCUCGGGCUUGCAGUGGGUACGGGCAGACUAGAGUGCGGUAGGGGAGAACGGAAUUCCUGGUGUAGCGGUGGAAUGCGCAGAUAUCAGGAGGAACACCGAUGGCGAAGGCAGUUCUCUGGGCCGUAACUGACGCUGAGGAGCGAAAGCGUGGGGAGCGAACAGG